rnacentral:sRNA from 1 species
GUCGAAUAUUUACACAGGAAUAUAUAGAGAAAAAUCUUUAAAAAUCUACUUCUUAAAAACCAUUCGCCCAGAAAAGCUUCAGUAAAAGCACCCUUAGAUAAUGUAGAUUCAAAUUCGUUGAAAACAAAAACUUGUGGAGUUGCCAGUUGCCAGUUGCAAGAGAUUCUGAGGCUGGGGUAAGCGCAUUCUUACUCCCCUACCUAACUUGUCCCAAACGUGUUCGAUUGGAGAGAGAUCCGGAGAUUUUGAGGGCCAGUCUAGCAUGUCAACGUUGUUCUGGUUUAGGAAUUCUAAUGUUGUUCGAGCCGUGUGAGCUAUUGCGUUCUCCUGUUGGAAUGUUAGACCUGGGCCAUUGGUGCGCAGAUAUGGCAAUACAACGGGGGUGAAAAUUUCAUUUCUAUAUCUUUGGGAUGAUGUUAAGGUACCGUUCACUACAACAAGUCUUGUUCGGUUUCCACCACAAAUUCCUCCCCAAACCAUUACACUACCACCACCAAAUAUGUCUACUUCUGUCACAAGGCAACCAGCAAAACGCUCUCCACGUCUCCUCCAGACACGGGUUCUUCCAUUAGCAAACUUCAAACUAAAACGAGACUCAUCACUAAAGAGAACCCUGGACCAGUCUUGCACCCGAAAGCGCAAAUGGUGCUGCGCCCAGUUCCGUCGAGAGGUCUUGUGUUGAUCUGUCAGCUCUUUUCCUCUGUACGGUCUAUGGGCUUUCAAACCGUAACGCUUCAGUCUGUUUCGUACCGUCUGAGAGCUAAUCCUCCUCCCUAAAGCAUUUUGAGCUGAAUAUACCACCGUUAAAAAUCUGUUUCUCAGAUGAAGCAACCGGAUGUGUCGGUCCUCCCUAGGUGUGAUUACUCUAGGUCUUCCAAUGCGGAGCCGGUCAUCAGUAGAUUCAGUGGUCUGGAAACGUCUCCAAAGAAGGCUGAUCGUCUUCUGAGACGUUCGACUGUGGUUGCUACAGCGUUUUGGGACAUGCCUGCUGAGAGCACCCCAACGCAGCGUUUACGGGGUUUUAUUUUUGACAAUCGGGGCAUUUUAAAAAUUGCAUUUAAUGAACUAAAUUUUUGAUUUUCUUUUUUGACAGAGAGCAAAGAUUUUUCUUUGCAAAAAUUUUUGCGAAUACACGUGGUAAAACUGUGUGUAACACGGGUUUCUACCCAUUGUACUCACAGCCAUUUAAAGGGCGUUUCAGUUGAAUAAUCAGGAUUGUUUCAUCACAAUAGAAUGUAGUUUAACUCUGUUAUAUAGAUCAUUUAUUGUCAAAAAAAUUGUUCGAACGAAAGUAAAACAAAAUUGUACACUUACAUAUAUACCUUUCUUUUUUUUGUGUUCAGUAUAUAUGUUUAGUCAUUUUUUGCCACUCAUUAUUUAUUUUAAUUGUAGUAAUUUAUCUUGUAUUUGUGAAUUUGUAUUCUAAUUCAUUGAUUAAAAUUAACAACAUC